AUGAACGCUAGCGGCAGGCUUAACACAUGCAAGUCGAGGGGCAGCGGGAGUAGCAAUACUUGCCGGCGACCGGCGCAAGGGUGCGUAACGCGUGAGCAACAUGCCCGUAUCAGGGGGAUAAUCCAGGGAAACUUUGGUCUAAUACCCCAUAGUAAUCUUAGGAGGCAUCUUUUAAGAUUUAAAGCUUUGGUGGAUACGGAUUUGGCUCGCGUGACAUUAGCUAGAUGGUAGGGUAACGGCCUACCAUGGCUACGAUGUCUAGGGGUUCUGAGAGGAAGAUCCCCCACACUGGAACUGAGACACGGUCCAGACUCCUACGGGAGGCAGCAGUGAGGAAUAUUGGACAAUGGAUGGAAAUCUGAUCCAGCCAUGCCGCGUGCAGGAAGACUGCCCUAUGGGUUGUAAACUGCUUUUGUAUGGGAGCAAUAAAGCCCUUCGUGAAGGGUGAUGAGAGUACCAUACGAAUAAGCAUCGGCUAACUCCGUG
rnacentral:rRNA from 1 species